GGAGAUGCUGCUCUAGGCUGCAGCGUGCUUUGUCAUUUGUUCUUCCGCCAGCGCCCAUCGUGAAGACCACAGUUUCCUGUCGCGUGGAUGUGUUUCCUCUCUGGCCAUUGCCAUCCGCCCAAAUCUACAGACAUCCCGCAUGUUCCCGGGCUCGUCUCCCCAAUACAGGGCACCAAGGCUGUAGACUGCGCAGCCCUCCUGGAGACAGAUGGAAGCUCCUUGGGUCGACAGAUUACAGCUUCUGGAACCCCCUACUCCCUUCAACUCCGAGAUGGACACCCACUGUCCAGGGAGAGGAUGCCUGGAAAUAACAGCUGGGAUCUACAGUGGCCAAAGAGUUGUCUCCGUCUUGCUACAUCGACAAACUGGUGCUCCUGAGUGAGGAUUGUGCCCUGGGAUGGGGGAUUCAGUUUCUUCAUUUAUAGUUGGAAGUGGGUGAAGCCACUUCGGAAGCGUUUUCCUCUCCACUCUGACAACAGGCAAGAGUGAGGGUCCAACAAUACAGAGGAAGUAACGUGUCGCUGCUACUCUUCCAUGCCCAGUGCCAGGAGCGACGGUACACUCCAGAGUGCUGUGCCCUGAUGGGCCUUUGAGUGGCCAGUGCAGUGGAUCAUCAGCCCUGUCUCCCAAGAGCUCCAGUCCCUUCUCCGGAGAGGAAGUGGGUCCACUGGCAGCUCAGGAGGCCAUAGCAGGAUUGUCACGUGUGCUCAACAGUCCUCCUCGGCUUUCCAGAAGAGGCUGGAACAGGGCCCUUGAAGAUGUUUGUGGACAUCAGAGGGCCAAAGACGACACAAAGUGAAACUGGAGACACCGCCCCCCCUUGGCAUCAUGAAACUGCCGAUGUUACUGGCUCAUGCAUGGGAGACACCAGCAUACAAAGUCUUGACACCAACACCUCAGAGGGCUGUGUUCUGUCCCCGUGACCAUCAUCUAGUGCCUGGAAAGACUAGUGACAAGAACUUGUUGCCAACUUCCUAUUACCUCCCUAACAGUUGUGCAAUAAACCCCAUAGGUUAAUUCAGUCUGCCUUUUAAAUCUGUGUCAACCCAUGAAUUCAGGGCUAGGUGUGGAAAAGGAGGCUAGCUCCUGACACGCCUGUGACUUUCCUGUUCUUAAUGCCCCCUGAGGCUUGGGCUUCAGGGUGUUGGGAGUGGACAAGUAGGGCUGGUAGUCUAUAUGAUUUUAGGGCUUGUGAGAGUUGAGAUAGCUGAACAGAGAAGGUCAGAACUUGGGGAAGGUGCCUGUGUCAAUAAAAAAAGGCUGGGGUGUCACAGUCCUAGGAAGUGACGUAUCAUUGCUGAGAACUAGGGGUGUGAAUGGGCAAAUGGACUGGAAUAUAAAAUGUAGAGCAUUUUCCUGACAGGACAGGUUGCUGUAGACAGGAACGAGGGUAUGCUCAGUGACUGGCUUUGGAGGACCUUAAGGAACAGAAGUACUCUGGGUGGGGUGGAAGAGAAGAAAUGCCCUUGAGUGACUUGGAUACCAAUAGGGCCAAAGAGAAACUGGUAAAGAGGGUGUAAUUACUGAUGGAUUUAUAACUAGGACUUUUCUAUUGGAAGUGAAGGACCUGGGGAAGGCUUGGUAAGGCUGCUUACCAAGCUUAGAUCCCAGAACACAAACAGGUAAAUGGUACAUUUUUAAAACUAACACAUUUUUCUUGUCUGAGAAUUUCUAAAUUUUGAUUUUUAAAUUAAGUCUGUGUAGGGAGGUCUGCAGUUCACAGAAGGCAUAUGAUCACCGGACUGGGUGUUAGAGGUGGCCUUGAGCCUCCUGACAUGAAUGCUGGGGACUGAACCCGACCUCUGCAAGGACAGAAUUCAUGGACCAUCUCCAGGCCAGUGAAGAGCUUGAUAGCAGGCUGUAGGUGUGGACAGCUACGGUGCCCCUGGACUUGUGGGAACACCAAAGCUAGGGGUUGGUUUGUAAGGGGUUCGAGACAGGGUUUCUCUGUAGCCCUGGCUGUCCUGGAACUCACUCUAUAGACCAGGCUGGCCUCCAACUCAGAAAUCUGCCUGCCUCUCCUAAGUGCUGGGACUAAAAGCAUGUGCCACCACUGCCCGGCCUAGUUUUUUAUUUCAGAGAAAGAUUUUUGGAGUUAUUCUGAGUGGGGUGGUCUUUCCAUUCUGAGAAGGUAUUAGCUAAGAUUUGUCUUGAUACUUUUGCAGUUUUUUUUUUUUAAAGAUUUAUUUAUUAUUAUAUGUAAGUACACUGUAGCUGUUUUCAGACACCCCAGCAGAGGGAGUCAGAUCUCAUUACGGAUGGUUGUGAGCCACCAUGUGGUUGCUAGGCAUUGAACUCAGGACCUUCAGAAGAGCAGUCAGUGCUCCUAACCGCUGAGCCAUGUCUCCAGCCCCUUGUAGUGGUUUUUAAGCAUUCUAGAUAUCUGGAAUUUAAGCUAGAGAUGGUUCUAGAAAAGUUCUUGAAUUUUUAUGUGACAACUUCUAAUGUUACUGGGCCUCAUGAUGGAUGCUUACCAAGGCUGGGAUUGACAGUCAUUUAUCUUUAGAUUUUGGGUGUUCCCAUUAGCAUUGGUUACUAUACAAAUUUAUUUAAUAGAGUCUUGAAUGAUUAAGGAAGAGAAUGGAGCCCUCUACUGUUGGUUGGGAAGAACGUUAACAUUGGUACUGAAAGAUCCUGACAGAAUGUAAAAGGUCACAGAAGCCCUGAAAUUGACAAAAUAGAUUUCAUUGUUAGUAGAAGUAGCUUCACUGAUUUAGAAAAACAGAGGUGCACAGUGCUCUGGCCCCUUCUUGAAUCUGUGUCUGAAUGUUCUGACCGUUCCUUGAACCCAGCUGUGUGUCCACUGCUGCACCUCACUGCCAGGUGUUUGUGAUAUUGGUUGCUAAGAUAGAGUCAGAAAAUCUCCCCAGCAUUAGACUCUCCUUGUUUCCCUCCCAUACCCAUUUCUUAAGAAAUCAAUCAUUUUACAUUGUUUAGAUCUGGAAAUCCCCUACUCCCCUCUUCUCCUUUCCCCCCUGAGGACCUAUAAAAACUGGGACCCCUUUCCCCUCGGGGUCAACUCCUCUACCCCUGAGUGGGAUACGAGUCGUCCCCCGAGUUCUGGCUUUCCCCAAAUAAAGCCUCAUGUGGUUUGCAUCAA
rnacentral:lncRNA from 1 species